rnacentral:lncRNA from 1 species
AUUAAACUUAUUUGUUCUGACUUUGCAUUCUCGAAUUGCCAACAAGUGCAGAUGAAAACUCUUGUUAUAUGACAAAUAAGCUUUAAAAAGCUCACUGCCAGACAUAUGUAUGUGAAAGAAGAUGAAUAACUGAACUGAGAUGCAAAUAUGCCUUAUUUGUAUGUGCAAGAUAAAGUUGUUUGUUGUACAGAAAAGUAAGUGACUUCUUAAGAAUGAAAUGAAGUAGAAUAUGGCAAAGGCUUGCAGAACUGCUUUUGAAAUUUAUUAGUCGUUCUAGGGGGACUUUGAACUGUAAAUUAAAGAAAACAAGUAUCAGCAGUCCGAACAUUUGGGUCUUUUGAGGAUAUGGAUAUCUUGCUAAACAAGGACAAAGUCUGAAACAGUGAGGAAUGUAGUAGAAGCUUUCUGGUUUCAGUAAAUGAAGGGACUGAGGUGAAGAUGGAUGAAUAUUAAGUGUCAAGCUGUCUGGUGCCCUAUGAGGAAGAAAUUAGAAGGCAAAUUGUUGUAUUUAGGAAGGCUGCAGAUGAGAUGCACGCAGGAGCUGUGUUGGGGUUUCUCACUGGAAAGUGCUGCCUAUGGACCUGGCUGUCUCUUGAAACAGAUAUUACUCCAUCUCCUUCAGUCUACAGGCUGACCUCUAAAGAUGACAAGAAUCUGGAAAUGUGCCUUAUCACGGAUUACUCCCCUGAAAAGCUUAAUCUUAGCUCAAUUGAUAGUAAGACAGAAACUGUUGUGGAGUUGGCAACAUCUGAGAACAAAUAUGAAGCGAGCUACCUGUCAACCUACUGGGCCAAGAAGGAUGAAAUGCACUGUGGUGCCAUGCACGAGGGAUUUGGAGAACUAGGAGAUGAUCCUGAAGCUGGUGCCAGCACUGUCUGCAUUACAGGGAUGCCACUGCACUUCAAGACAGAUGAGAACCUGAACACGCUGACCUUUUCACAACUGGGCCUGAAAAUAAUUCUAAUGAAAGCAAUAAUUUUUAACGUGCUGAUGACGAUGCUUAUGUGGAAAAAAAAUGAAUGA